GACGAACGCUGGCGGCGUGCUUAAUACAUGCAAGUCGAACGGACAGGCCCUGCUUUUGUGGGGUGCUCGAUUGGCGAACGGGUGAGUAACACGUGAGUAACCUGCCCUUGACUUUGUGAUAACUUCAGGAAACUGGGGCUCAUACCGGAUAGGAGCUCCUGCUGCAUGUUGGGGGUUGGAAAGUUUCGGCGGUUGGGGAUGGACUCGCGGCUUAUCAGCUUGUUGGUGGGGUAGUGGCUUACCAAGGCUUUGACGGGUAGCCGGCCUGAGAGGGUGACCGGCCACAUUGGGACUGAGAUACGGCCCAGACUCCUACGGGAGGCAGCAGUGGGGAAUAUUGCACAAUGGGCGGAAGCCUGAUGCAGCAACGCCGCGUGCGGGAUGACGGCCUUCGGGUUGUAAACCGCUUUCGCCUGUGACGAAGCGUGAGUGACGGUAAUGGGUAAAGAAGCACCGGCUAACUACGUG
rnacentral:rRNA from 1 species